AUACAAUAAAAAUGACAAAAAUAAUGAAAAUUAUCAAUACAACAAAAAUGAAUAAAGUCAAUAAAAAUUUACAAUACAAUAAAAAUCAUUAAAAUAAAUAGAAAUUGACAAUACAAUAAUGAAAAUUAACAGUACAAUAAAAAUGAAUAAAAUCAAUAAAAAUUAAUGAAAUAAUGAAAAUUAACAAUACAAUAAAAAUGAUUAAAAUAAAUAAAAAACAAUACAAUAAAAAUUAUUAAAAUCAAUAAAAAUUGACAUUACAAUAAAAAUUAAAUAAAUAAGUAAAAAUUAAGAAUACAAUAGAAAUUAAUAAAAGAGUGUUGGAAUUUACGUGACACGAACCGUCUCGAACUUGUAGAUGGAGGAAAUUAUAUCUCAAACCACGGCGUACUUGCUGAUUUGCACAGUAUAAAGUAUUAAGUAAAAAUGCGAAAAUUUUCAUCCGUCAAAGGCUUUCAACCCCUACAAUUAAAAGGAACCAAAUAAAUAAAAAUUAGCAAUACAAUAAAAAGAAAUAAAAUAUAAAUUAACAGUACAAUAAAAUGAAUAAAAUAAACAGAAAUUAACAAUAUAAUAAAAAUUAAUAAAAUAAAUUAAAAUUUAUUAUACAAUAAAAAUUAACUCAAUAAUGCUUUUCCUCAACAACAUCUCCAUGACUUAAACACAUUGUGGCCAGAACGUUCCACCUUUGUUAAUAUAUCAUAUUAGAUGAACAUUUUAUAAAAAUCACCAGAGGCCUCACUCACAAUUGGAAAACACUCUUUAAAUGUUGUUUUGAGAACGUUCCUACUUUGUAAUCAUUGAACAUAAUCUGUGUUCCUGACUACAUCUUUUGAAUGUUGACGCUAAAAGAAUCAUAUUAACUUUACAGGAACAUUUCUGGAAAUGAAAAUAUUUGUAAAACGUAGUUUAAACAUUAGACUAAAACAUGAUUAGAACCUGCAGCUAAUGUUAUCCAGAGUGGUGGGAACGUUCUCCUGUGGAGCUUCAGAACUUCACCCUUCACUAUGUUUCAUGUUUCAGAAUGGGAAGCGCCUUUAUAGAAGUGGCAGGAAGUGGAUUCAGGCUGAUCCUGGUUCUGGAGAGACCGGUUCCCUCCGGAGGGCAGCGGUGGUUUGCUGGAGGAGGCGGAGGCCAAGCCUCCAUCCAGCCGUCCGUGGAAAGGGGAUCUCUCUUUGAAUUGCCUUUCCCGAGGUUUCUUCCCAUCUUCCAUGGGGAGUUUUUUCUCGUCUUCAUAGAGAGCUUGGGCUGGAUCAAGACCUCCUCAGAAAUAAAACUUCAUUAUAAUAAAUAACACAUCAUGAUAGAUUAUUUCCGGAUUACAUUUAGAGUUACAUCCUGGUUAAUAAGUUGUUUACACAAAACCAAGUUGAGCUGCACAUUUUAGAGGACAUUGUACGUUUAUUAUAUAACGUAUUAAAGAGCUACUUUACAGAUUAAGAUUAAUAAUUCAAAAUAUAAGUUCUGGUGUAUUAUUAGAUGCAUUUUUUUCCCCUAGUGGAAAUUCACAAGAUGUAAAAUAAAUAUAAAUUAAAGCCAGCCUCGGCUUUACCAGCUGCAAAAUUAAAGUUAUCUACAUGCUAAUGCAUUUAAAAGGUAUAACCCCGUUAUAUAAAAUACACUUUUACAAGUUAAUUAAAUUAGUUAAAUGCAUGGUUGCAAGAUUACAAGCCCAAGGUACUGAUUUAGCUAAACCUUUUAAGUUGCAAACAUUUAUCUAUGUUUAUAUUGUUUUGACAUAAUAAUGUUUCACCAACUUAAUAUUGUGAAUAAUUUAAAAUUGGAUUUUUUGCUGGAGUUGAUUUAAAACUAAAUUCAAAUUGAAGUAACUUCAAUCUUCAGUCUGUUCAGACUUCCGUGGAGAGUGACUCCAACGAGUUUAGCCUAUUUUUGUCAGGCUUUGCCGUCUGGCAGAGUCGUAUCUAUUUGUUGAAAGCAGAGGAUCUGUGCUUGACGGGGGUUUGGGUGGUGCUCAGUGGAGCUUGUGGGCGGAGUCAGUGAGGACUUCACCAGGGGGUUGGGCCCGGGCAGCAAAAGGUCAGGGCUCAUCGCUUCUCGGCCUUUUGGCUAAGAUCAAAUGUAGGAUCUGUUCUUAUCAGUUUAAUAUCUGAUACGUCCUCCAAUGUGAGGACUAUAUAUUAAAUGGAUUUUUAGCACUGGGAGCUGAAAGAGGGGUUUGCUCCUUUCACUCCACGCAUCGACCUGGUACUGCAGUGCUGCCAGGAAUGGUGCAUCCUUCUCUGGCCUUGUAGAAUGGAAGUAAAACAAGCUAAUAACAACGCUCUGGCAGAUUGGGCAGUGACCACCAAAGCUGUCAAACAAAGCCAGCAGCACCAGCUGCUUCUGUGGCGUCGUCAUGCUUACGCAACUCAGUUUGAAGAGAGAGUGGUUUUCCUCUUGGCUGCGGACGGCAAAGGUCUUCAGUCACACUAUCCAAGUCAGAUCUUUCUGCACGGGUUUCAGCGAGUUGGAGAAAGAACAGAAGGGUCGAACGGUGAGCUUUCAGUCACACUAUGGUCUCACAAUGGGUGGAAGUGCAAAAGUAGCUGCUUGGUGGCUCGUGGCCGUUCCACCAUCAGCACUGAGAACACACACAGCCACACAAUUCUGGAAACACAAUGGUGAGACCGGUGAAAGUGAAAAAUGGCUCCUCAAAUGCAGCACAGUACAGGACAAGGCAGCCUGGUGUCACGUUGCGCACAACAAAGCAAGCAUCAUUCUUGCAAAUUCCUUGUCCGUACCCUAGCAGUGGUUGUUCCUUGAGGACAGCGUUGCUCACGGCAGUUAUCCUGUGUGAAAGCUACAUUUGAAACGUUCUUUCUUGACUCAGUUGAGUUCAGUGAAGUGGCCAGAAAAUGUGGCUAGACGUCCUGCGGACCUGUGGGUGGCCCGCUGUUGAGUAUCACUGGGCUCCCACAGUGUCAGGCUGAUUGGAUGAAGCUUCAGUGUGUUGUAUUGUAUGUCUUUAAGGAUGUUUUUAUUUGAGUCAUUUUGUGGUUUAUUUUAUUUUCCAUCUAUUUAUGUUGUUUAUUGUUUUAUUUAGUUAAUUUUGUUUCACUUAUUGGCUAUUUCUGUCUCAUUUAACAUCUCUGUAUUUCAUUUUGGCCUAUUCAUGUUUCAUUCUGCUAAUUUACCUCUUGAUUUUUUUGUCCAUUUUAAUAAUUUUGUGGCUCAUAUUUGGCCAUUUCGCACCUCUUAAUUACCUUUUUUGUUCUACUUUGUUACUUUUGUUGUAUAUUUUGUUUAUUUUAUAUCCCAUUUUGAUCAUUUUGUGUUUAAUUUUGGCCAUGUUGUUUCUCAGUUUGAUCCUUUUCUAUCUUUCCAUGUUGUUUUUAGUUCCAUUUUGGUCAUUUUGCAUGUGUUCAUGGAUUCUAAUUUUCCAUGUUGGACAUUUUACCCACUUCAGUCAUUUUAUAUGGUUUUAUGUGAUUGUUCUUGUCCCAUAUGGGUGAUUUUGUGCCUCCCUGUGUCUCCACACUUGUGGAAACAAAUCUCACAAACAAAUCAAGCACUUGUCCUGUAACUUUGUCCUGUGAGAGACCAUCAGCGACCCUUUAGAGGGCUGCAGUCAGUGAGGAGAGAAGAGGAAAGCUGCUGAUGCUGCUGAAGCUCCAACUAAAAAGAGGAGUCUUCAACUGGUGGAGGACAGAGUAGAGCUGUCAGAAGAGGAACAAAGAGCCCAAUUCGACAGCAAAUACGAGCAGCAGCAUCAGCUCAGAGAAGGAGGUUGUGGGUCCGUGUUCGCCGGCCGCCGCAAAUCAGACAGUUUGCUGGUAAGAUAUGAAGAAGCACUUGUAAUGUGGUUGUGUACAGCUUUUUACAAAACAUGAGAGGUUUGGUUCCUGUUUGAAGCUGAAAUGUUUCAUGUCAGAAAAUACUAAGCAAAAGCUAGUAAUUUCCUGGAACUGGGUUUUUCUUGGUUAUGAAAAUAAGAAUUAAGAAGAAAAAAUCAAGCUUACACG